GAUGAACGCUAGCGGCAGGCUUAACACAUGCAAGUCGAGGGGCAGCAUAAUGGAUAGCAAUAUCUAUGGUGGCGACCGGCGCACGGGUGCGUAACGCGUAUGCAACCUACCUUUAACAGGGGGAUAACACUGAGAAAUUGGUACUAAUACCCCAUAAUAUCAUAGAAGGCAUCUUUUAUGGUUGAAAAUUCCGAUGGUUAGAGAUGGGCAUGCGUUGUAUUAGCUAGUUGGUGGGGUAACGGCUCACCAAGGCGACGAUACAUAGGGGGACUGAGAGGUUAACCCCCCACACUGGUACUGAGACACGGACUAGACUCCUACGGAAGGCAGCAGUGAGGAAUAUUGGUCAAUGGACGCAAGUCUGAACCAGCCAUGCCACGUGCAGGAUGACGGCGCUAUGAGUUGUAAGCUGCUUUUGUACGAGGGUAAACGCAGAUACGUGUAUCUGUCUGAAAGUAUCGUACGAAUAAGGAUCGGCUAACUCCGUG
rnacentral:rRNA from 1 species